rnacentral:lncRNA from 1 species
GCCUCCACAACCACUGCUGUUCAACCUACUUUCAGAAUCAUACCCACAACCACCAAUACCACCACAGCCCCCACAGCCACCACAACCACUGCUUUCGUACAUACUUCCACAGCCUCCCCCGCAGCCACCACUGCCACACCCCCCACAACCACCACUCUCUAAUUUGUUUCCACAACCAGCACCACAACUGCCGCAGGCCCCACUCCUCAUAACACUACCGGAACCACUACCACAACCACUGCCGCAGCCUCCACUAAUUGCUCCUUUUGCUGGUGCUGCAAUGUUUCCUUUGGUAGCCUCCAGGUCCAACGGCAUUCCCUUCUCUGCCUCAGAUCUCAGAUUAGCUUUGUUGCCUUCUUCAUGGCUCAUGUCAGUUUCUUGAGUUGAAAAAUCAAUCUCUUUGGAAUGUUUGGCACUGCCUACCAGGCUA